rnacentral:piRNA from 1 species
UUGCAUAAGCAAAUCACAAAUGUCUACAGGA